rnacentral:rRNA from 1 species
UGGGGAAUUUUGGACAAUGGGCGAAAGCCUGAUCCAGCAAUGCCGCGUGUGUGAAGAAGGCCUUCGGGUUGUAAAGCACUUUUGUCCGGAAAGAAAUCCUUGGCUCUAAUACAGUCGGGGGAUGACGGUACCGGAAGAAUAAGCACCGGCUAACUACGUGCCAGCAGCCGCGGUAAUACGUAGGGUGCAAGCGUUAAUCGGAAUUACUGGGCGUAAAGCGUGCGCAGGCGGUUUGCUAAGACCGAUGUGAAAUCCCCGGGCUCAACCUGGGAACUGCAUUGGUGACUGGGCAGGCUAGAGUAUGGCAGGAGGGGGGUAGAAUUCCACGUGUAGCAGUGAAAUGCGUAGAGAUGUGGAGGAAUACCGAUGGCGAAGGCAGCCCCCUGGGCCAAUACUGACGCUCAUGCACGAAAGCGUGGGGGAGCAAACAGGAUUAGAUACCCUGGUAGUCCACGCCCUAAACGAUGUCAACUAGUUGUUGGGGAUUCAUUUCCUUAGUAACGUAGCUAACGCGUGAAGUUGACCGCCUGGGGAGUACGGUCGCAAGAUUAAAACC